rnacentral:misc_RNA from 1 species
AAAAUUAAGGGACACCAAAUUUCUGCACAAUUAAUAAACCAGCGGCCAGCUCACCUGGUAUCUAGCCUGUACAUUUUUCACUGUCAUAGACACAAGAACCACAAACUGGUCCAUCAAACUAAAACAAAAUCACAAAACCAUGGCCUAUACACACAACUGUGGCCGCAGCUAAUUAGCCUCUGAAGAAAUUAUCUCCAGCUCCGCCCACCACAAUGGCGACAAUUUCGG